rnacentral:rRNA from 1 species
UACGUAGGGGGCAAGCGUUGUCCGGAAUCAUUGGGCGUAAAGAGCGUGUAGGCGGCCCGAUAAGUCCGCUGUGAAAGUCCAGGGCUCAACCCUGGAAUGCCGGUGGAUACUGUCGGGCUCGAAUCCGGAAGAGGUGAGUGGAAUUCCUGGUGUAGCGGUGAAAUGCGCAGAUAUCAGGAGGAACACCAAUGGCGAAGGCAGCUCACUGGGACGGUAUUGACGCUGAGACGCGAAAGCGUGGGGAGCAAACAAG